rnacentral:hammerhead_ribozyme from 1 species
ACUGUGCUGAUGAGCCCCAAAAAAGGGCGAAACAGCUGUCCACAGU